UAUGCUAUAAAAUGGAUAAAAAUGUUUUUAAUGAUGGAAAAGAGCUUGUUUUAUCAAAGGCAACACUUAGUAAUAUCUCAUAUCAAAGCCAGGUGUUUUAUGUUUUUCAAG